rnacentral:rRNA from 1 species
AGUGUAGGCGGCUGCGUAAGUCGGAUGUGAAAGCCCCGGGCUUAACCUGGGAAUUGCAUUCGAUACUGCGUGGCUAGAGUUUGGUAGAGGUAAGUGGAAUUCCGGGUGUAGCGGUGAAAUGCGUAGAUACCCGGAGGAACAUCAGUGGCGAAGGCGGCUUACUGGACCAAAACUGACGCUGAGGCUCGAAAGCGUGGGGAGCAAACA